AGGAAAAAAGACCGCCGUCCCCGACCUGAUAAGCUCCCCCUCCACCAAUGCGCCACCGGGGCCUCCCCUCCCCCGCCGCGCCGCCACUGCCUCCCGCUCCCCCAGCACGCCGCCGCGGCCUCCCCUCUCCCCCACCGCGCCGCCGCUGCCUCCCGCUCCCCCAGCACGCCACCGCGACCUCCCCUCUCCCCCAGGCGCCGUCGUCUCCCCACCUUUUCCCUCAGCUCCGGCCACCGCCCCCACCCUCUCCCCGGCUCCGGCCGCUGCCCCCACCCUCUCCCUCGGCUCCGGCCGCCGCCCCGACCUUCUCCCUGGGCUCCGGCCACUGCCCCGCACUCCAACCACGGAUCGACCCAUCGUCGUUGCCCUGCACCAGAUCGCGCCACCCAGAACCACCCGUCGCCACCACGUCCUCCCCGCGCUGCCGCUAUCUCUCCUUGCUCCACCGCCAGCCGAGCACCUCCUCACCUCCAUUGUUGUUCAGCACUUCCUCCAGUUCCUCCCGUGAGGGCUGCGCUCAUCCACUCCUACUGCUGAUCGAGCUCACUCCAAUCCCUCCACCAUGCUACCUCCUCCCGCUGAUGAGGCUCCGUUGAUGCAGCGCCCCGGCCGUUCACUGUCACCACCCCGGGCCGUUCAACGAGACAGCGCCAAGUCGUUCGACACCGCAGCUCGGGAGGCUGCCUCCUUUGACAGCUCCUGAUCUCUGGAACUGCCAUGGCUCCCUUCCGGCACAACUCGCUGUCGACAACCUCCUUUGACAGCUCGCCUUUGAGGCCCACCAGACUCACACGACGACGCUGGCCGUCCACAGCCACCACCACAGGCCGUUCACAGCCACCACUCAUGGCCGUUCACAAAAAACACCCCAAAGUGCAUACCAUACAUGAGGACAAGGGUGAGGAGCCAGGAGGAGGCAGCAGGAAAGAGCUAAGCGAUCUUCAGUUCACGUUUGCUACGAUUUUCAGUCCAGCCGGCUUACUAUUUCAUCACCAGGGUAACUAAAAAGCUCUGCGUCUGAUAGAAUAUCUCUUGUUAUAACUUUUAAAUUUGUCUAGAUGCGAGGAACAAAAUCUCCAGCGAACUUUUGCUUUGCUGAUAUAAAUCAAGCUCUGUUUUGUUGUUGAGAAACAACAGUAUGUUAGCAGCAGGAGUUAAAAAAUCAGCUGCUUUCAACUAAAUCAAAAUGUGUCGCGCAAGUUCAGGUAUACCUGCUGCAGGAGUUCAAAAAGCUGAAGAAACGAAGCUCAAACCAAGUUUAAAAACUGUUUCCUAGUUGUUUUUGGUUAAUUCGUUGUUAUGGACAGUAAAAAAUACACACUGUUGUGUAAUGCAUGUGUGUAUUGUAAUUGUAAUUGUGGUUUGGAGUUCAGGAAAAGAUAACAAAAAGGGACGCGGCGAUUCGGUGCUCAGGCUCAUCUUCACCUGAUAUCUAGGACGUUGGCUGAUGCGUUGGGAUUGGGAAAAGAAGGACAGACGCGUCAGAGCUGGUUCCACCGAAAAGUAAAAUACAGUCCCUAUACGGGCGUGCGCAGUGGUGGGUGUGGGCCUAGUUCGUAGAUGGCGUGGGCUGUGUCCAUUACUGCAGUGUGCUGAGCCUAGGAACAGAACGUCAGUCUUGAGAGCUGAGCCGUUCGUUCGUUAGUACGGGAAGUGGAUGAGAAACCAAGCCGUGUAGUUACUCAUAUCUCGCCGGGAGUUUGAUUUGAAACGGCGCGGCUGAUUCUACCGGCGACGAGUCCAUGAAGGCCAACGGAUUGGAGUUCCUGCUAGAUUUGAUCAACUUGUGCGGUACCAGCUCUUCACUGUCCUCGAUGCCGUUUUUAUUAUAAUUUGGAUCAUAGUUUCGUCACGAUUUUGACCACGGUGAUAUACUUUCUGAGUUGCUCCAGUUUCAGAGUUUACCGAUAACCUGGAGCAUCCAGAUGCGGUGCCCCCUGCUGUGGCAACGAUGACUCCAUGAGGGCGGUUUCAGCAGACGGUGCUCUCCGAAGGUUGCGCUGGACUAGGUCGGUACGAGGCUUGCAACUUUCUCCCAUGAAGCGCAUGAACAAAAUUGGAGCUGCCGGUCUUCGACGUCUCGGCCCAUUGUUUGGCUUUGGCCAAUGAGGUCCUCGGAUGCCGUUCGUUUAGAGGGGUCUUGACGGGUCGUCAGCGCCAAAGUCGGAGUCGCCUGCUUGGGAAGAGGUGAUGACGAUGACAUUGCAGGAAACCUCGAUAGUGUCCUCUCCUCGGCGGUGUGUGUGGUCUUGUGGGUGCUAGGUCGGCCGGUGUGCCCUUUGUGUGGGCGUGUUGUGACGGUUUUCGCCCGGGUUCCCGUUAAUUAAUCGGGCAAUUCUCUUCUACUUAAUCAAUGAAAAUGGCAAAUCUUUUGCCUCGUUCCAAAAAAAAGAAUAUUUGUAUUUCGGUCAAAAUUGCAUUGGGCAAAAUAUUUAAGUAAACGUGAAUUUGAGCAGAUUUAAGUAGAACACAAAUUUCAUCCAACUCUGGUUAUAUUUCAGUCAAAGUCAAGUCAGAUUUUUUUUUUCACUCGGCCAGACUGAACCGAAAUAACAAUGCGGUUGAUUUCAGUGAUGGCCCAAUUCUGAUCGCAAUCGAGAAAAUGAGCUGUGAUAAACAUUCCAUAGAUCCAAAGUACAUUAUGGUCAACUGUAUUCCCUCCUCACAAAAUAUCAUUAGUGGAUUCGUAAGGAUUGCGACUUCUUUUAGUUAUCUUUAUUAUUAUUCUUUGUUGCGACUGGUGCUACUGUGCAUUAUAUUUUUCUUAAAACACUUGGUUCUUGGGUUGAUCCAUUAGGAUGAUGGUGCAGUAGCCAUUGUACUUAAGAACUUAAAGGCUGAUCUCGGCAACAUACGCAACGAGGUAAAUCCACAUUGUGAACUGAUAACCAAACAGUCAGUCUUUUACUUCCAAUUCUCUGUUGGCAAUCUCACAGAUAUGAAUUGUCUCAAUUCUCUUAGGUUAUCAGAAUGAUUGCUGGCAUGUCUGAAGAUCAAACAUGCAUUGCCACCUGGGAUGUGCCUGAAACAGUUGAAGGGAAAAUGGUCUGUGUCCAUUGCAUCUCUUGUGUUAAAUAGCUUAUCCUAGAGUAAUACAGAUUAAUAUUAGUUUGAUGUUGUUCCGAGCAGAUUUGCCUAUUCCUGUGACAAAAUUGAUGUGUGCAUGGCUCUCUUGUCCCUUAACAAAAUUGAUGUGCAAGUCCCAGCAGGUUCCAAUCAAGUUAACGGCUUUUCUUCUGGUACUUUGAUGGCUUGAUUAUUUAGGAGGAUCGAUGCCUGAAAACAGGAGUUCAUGUGCAGAACAAAGAAGCAGAGAUGAAGAGGUGUCAAGAUAAAGGAACUCACAUGGGAAAUUCUGAAUCUUCAAGGCUCGUUUCAUGUAUUUAAUAUUUUGAACUGUUAAAGAUGUUAUUGUACUUUUUGUCUAUUGAUAUGUGUUUAGAAUAAUUAUUCACAGUAAAAUCUGUGUUUAGAAUAACUAUUGAAGAUGAUAUUACAUGGGAUUCAGCUUC